rnacentral:rRNA from 1 species
GAUGAACGCUGGCGGCGUGCCUAAUACAUGCAAGUCGAGCGAACAGACGAGGAGCUUGCUCCUCUGACGUUAGCGGCGGACGGGUGAGUAACACGUGGAUAACCUACCUAUAAGACUGGGAUAACUUCGGGAAACCGGAGCUAAUACCGGAUAAUAUAUUGAACCGCAUGGUUCAAUAGUGAAAGACGGUUUUGCUGUCACUUAUAGAUGGAUCCGCGCCGCAUCAGCUAGUUGGUAAGGUAACGGCCUACCAAGGCGACGAUGCGUAGCCGACCUGAGAGGGUGAUCGGCCACACUGGAACUGAGACACGGUCCAGACUCCUACGGGAGGCAGCAGUAGGGAAUCUUCCGCAAUGGGCGAAAGCCUGACGGAGCAACGCCGCGUGAGUGAUGAAGGUCUUCGGAUCGUAAAACUCUGUUAUUAGGGAAGAACAAAUGUGUAAGUAACUAUGCACGUCUUGACGGUACCUAAUCAGAAAGCCACGGCUAACUACGUG